rnacentral:rRNA from 1 species
GUGAGGAAUAUUGGUCAAUGGGCGCAAGCCUGAUCCAGCCAUGCCGCGUGAGUGAUGAAGGCCUUAGGGUUGUAAAGCUCUUUCAGUGGGGACGAUAAUGACGGUACCCACAGAAGAAGCCCCGGCUAACUUCGUGCCAGCAGCCGCGGUAAUACGAAGGGGGCUAGCGUUGUUCGGAUUUACUGGGCGUAAAGCGCACGUAGGCGGAUCGUUAAGUCGGGGGUGAAAUCCUGGAGCUCAACUCCAGAACUGCCUUCGAUACUGGCGAUCUUGAGUCCGGAAGAGGUGAGUGGAACUCCUAGUGUAGAGGUGGAAUUCGUAGAUAUUAGGAAGAACACCAGUGGCGAAGGCGGCUCACUGGUCCGGUACUGACGCUGAGGUGCGAAAGCGUGGGGAGCAAACAGGAUUAGAUACCCCAGUAGUCC